rnacentral:rRNA from 1 species
GUACCCUUCUCUAAGGAAUAGCCACUGGAAACGGUGAGUAAUACCUUAUACGCCCUUCGGGGAAAGAUUUAUCGGAGAGGGAUCAGCCCGCGUUAGAUUAGAUAGUUGGUGGGGUAACGGCCUACCAAGUCUACGAUCUAUAGCUGGUUUUAGAGGAUGAUCAGCAACACUGGGACUGAGACACGGCCCAGACUCCUACGGGAGGCAGCAGUGGGGAAUCUUGGACAAUGGGCGCAAGUGAUCCAGCCAUGCCGCGUGAGUGAUGAAGGCCUUAGGGUCGUAAAGCUCUUUCGCCAGGGAUGAUAAUGACAGUACCUGGUAAAGAAACCCCGGCUAACUCCGUGCCAGCAGCCGCGGUAAUACGGAGGGGGUUAGCGUUGUUCGGAAUUACUGGGCGUAAAGCGUACGUAGGCGGAUCAGAAAGUUGGGGGUGAAAUCCCGGGGCUCAACCCCGAACUGCCUCCAAAACUCCUGGUCUAGAGUUCGAGAGAGGUGAGUGGAAUUCCGAGUGUAGAGGUGAAAUUCGUAGAUAUUCGGAGGAACACCAGUGGCGAAGGGGCUCACUGGCUCGAUACUGACGCUGAGGUACGAAAGUGUGGGGAGCAAACAGGAUUAGAUACCCUGGUAGUCCACACCGUAAACGAUGAAUGCCAGUCGUCGGGUAGCAUGCUAUUCGGUGACACACCUAACGGAUUAAGCAUUCCGCCUGGGGAGUACGGUCGCAAGAUUAAAACUCAAAGGAAUUGACGGGGG